rnacentral:rRNA from 1 species
UACGUAGGUGACGAGCGUUGUUCGGAAUUAUUGGGCGUAAAGGGUUCGUAGGAUGUUUAUUAAGAUUGGUGUGAAAUCCCAAGGCUCAACCUUGGAACUGCAUUGAUUACUGAUGAACUAGAGUGUCGUAGAGGAAAGCGGAAUUCCAGGUGUAGCGGUGGAAUGCGUAGAUAUCUGGAAGAACACCGACAGCGAAGGCAGCUUUCUGGGCGACAACUGACUCUGAGGAACGAAAGCAUGGGGAGCAAACAGG